GACUGGACGGUCUAGUGGUUAAGAUGUCCCCCCCUGGAGUUGGGAAGGACUAGAUUCAAAUCCUUGUCCUGCCA
rnacentral:tRNA from 1 species